GCCAUCCUUUAAAGAAAGCGUAAUAGCUCACUGGUCUAGACAAGCCGUCCUGCGCCGAAAAUGUACCGGGGCUCAAGCCACACGCCGAAGCUGCGGGCUCGACCUAGUCGAGCGGUAGCGGAGCGUUCCGUAGGCCUGCGAAGGGAGACUCGCGAGAGCUCCUGGAGGUAUCGGAAGUGCGAAUGCUGACAUGAGUAGCGAUAAUGCGGGUGAAAAACCCGCACGCCGAAAGCCCAAGGUUUCCCACGCAACGCUAAUCGGCGUGGGGUGAGUCGGCCCCUAAGGCGAGACCGAAAGGUGUAGUCGAUGGGAAUCAGGCAAUUAAAAUAUUCCUGAACCACCAAAAGAGUUAAGCGUAGUGACGCAGGAGCGUAGUUGUGCGGGGUGAAUGGUUAUCCCCGUACAGUGAAGCACACUGCCGAGAAAAGCUGCGUGUAUUUCUUCGGUGACCGUACCGCAAACCGACACAGGUAGUCAAGGAGAGAAUCCUAAGGUGCUCGAGUGAUUCAUGGUUAAGGAACUAGGCAAAAUCGCCUCGUAACUUCGGGAGAAGAGGCGCCCUGGUGUAAGAACCAGGGCCGCAGUGAAAAGGCCCAGGCGACUGUUUAUCAAAAACACAGGGCUCUGCGAAGCCGCAAGGCGACGUAUAGGGUCUGACGCCUGCCCGGUGCCGGAAGGUUAAGAGGAGAGGUUC
rnacentral:rRNA from 1 species